UGUUAAUGAGGGUGAAGUGAUCGCCUUCAGGGUGCUGGAACUUUCUGUGGCACCGGACCGCCUCCAGGGUCAAACCAGUGGAUGGCUUCAGGAAGCAGCUUGGAGCUAAACGGAGAAGAAACCAUGACUUUCCCGGGACAAACCAUUCUGACCAAAUGGCAUCAGUGUCUUGACGGAAACAGCGACUUUCUACAUCAUCCACAUGCUCACAGACACCACAGUCAACAAAUACUCAUGGAGCAGAUUGCAGGACUCCCCAGCAGGAUAAUACAGAGCAGAUGUGGAGAUCACGCUGCCACGCACCGACAGAGAGACAGUUAAAGCCUGAAGCGCUGUCAGAAUAACAAAGUUCAGGCUCCGGCUCCUGGGGAUCAUGAUGUCCGGCUGAAGCGUGGACGGGACUGGCUUCUUCUUCUUUUUGCACUGUUUCACUGCAGCGCAGCCAUCACACAGUUCACAGCCCGGCAACAGCUGAUGUGUCUGAGUCCCCACCACCACCACCACCAGCAGCACCAGCACCAACACCAACACACCCACCCGAAAUAAAACGACUUCCUGAAAUAUGAUCAACUUCACAUCACAUGAGAUCAUGAGAAGAGUGGCAGCCAAGGGCAUCAGUGCUUUAUGGUGCACCAGGCAUUCUGGAGAGAACGGCAAUUUGCAAUCAAGUAAGAAAUGGGAUAAACAGGGAUGAACAGUGUGCGUUUAGAUGUUAUCGUAUAAGUGUGUUCAUCAGUUGCAGUGUGAUGUUUGAUUACAACCAACAUGGAGC